UCUGUCUUGAACAAGUGUCUAGUUAGUCUCCACAAAACUGCAUUUUGUACCAGGAACUCCAAAGCCUUUGGUGACUCACGAGCUAUACGGGAGAAACUUUGGAGCGAUUGCUGUUGUUCACCAUAGCCAAUUAUCCUCACUGGGAGACCUCCUUCCUUGCAGUUAGAUUGGACCAUGUGACAAGUUCUGGCCAAUGAUAUGAGAGUGGAAGUGCCAUGUGUUGCUUUAGGACCCAGGAAAUUAAGAGUUCUCUACUCCUCUUUCCUGCCAUAGCAUCACCAGAAGCCCCAUGUUGCAGAGGUAGGAACAUGCAGCCUCGAUCUAUGAGUUACUGCUUGAAAGUGAGCUGUCCUGGAGAGCCAAGGGAACCAUAGCAGGCUUUGCAUGACCAAGAAAUUAACUUCUGAGUUUUGUUUUGAACCACUGACAUUAGAGGGUUGGUUUGUUUCUAGAACAUAGGCUAACCUAUCCUAACUAAUAUGGAAACUUUGUUCAUGUAAAUAAGUAAGUAGGAAUGAAAGAAGGUUUGUUAUAGCAAUAUAACUCCAUUAUUUGAAUUUCUUUCUUUUAUGUGCCAAAAAUCACACUGAUACUUCAUUAAAAAUUAUUAUAUAACUGACAAUUUGAUUAUGUCCUCCUUGAGUCUUGCUUAAAGUGAAGAACCGGAAAUACCUGAUUUACAAAAGGAUUUGUUCUUCAGUCGUUAGAGUGAUUCACUUUGUCAAUUUCCCAGAAUUAAAAUUAAAAGGCUUUACUAAGACUUUUAAAAUGACAAUUAAUUAUGCCUGUUACUUUUUCACUUAUAGGCACCUUGUUUUACCUGUUAUACAAAGUAACGUUGGGAAAAAUAAAAUAUUGUUAAUUUCAUUAUACUUUUAUCAAUACUAUUUUUCUAUUAAAAUGUCUUGAUCUUAAUACAUAUUUUAACCAGAACACUAGAGUUGCAAAUUCAGUUCACUCAAUUAAUGAAAAAUAUUCAUUAUCAAACUUAUUUGGUAAAGCCAAUCUUCAUUGUCAAACCCAUGAGCCAAAUAAGACAAUGUUCAGAAAAAGUCUGAUUGCAUUUUUGAAUUCAAUAAGCAUGCUAAUACUCAUCCUCACUUAGAAAUCUGAUAUAUAAAGCACAGAGCCUUGCCCUGAGCUUUUCACCAGGAUAAAGUAAGACAUUAGGUUCUUAUCAAUAUCUACACUCUCUUUAUUUUGCUUUCACCACUUUUCUCUCCAGAAACACCUUCUUUGACAAUAAUCAGGGGCAGGUAAAGUCUUAAACAAAAGUAGUUAACACUCAUGCUCUUCCACCAUCCCAUACAUAUUAAUUUAGAAUGUCCAACCAUGGGGCAAAAUAACUCAUCACUCAUCCUUAACAGAAAAAUAUAUGAACAUAGGGGAGUACAUGAGGCUCUACACUGAACUUAUAAUUCCUUUAUUAAAAGAAGUUUCAUUGACAUUAUUACUUUGCACUUUUUUUUGUUUGGUGCCAUGGAGGAUUUUCCCAAGGCAAGGUAUCACAAUAAGAUUUGGAGUGAAAGCCAUGUCCUUCUUUUCUUUAAGAUAGAGACAGGCAUUUGUGGAAAGAGAGGCGGGAAAGAAGCCCAUGACACCUUGAUCUCUGGGAUGUUCUCAGGCAAAUCAGUUCUAAGAAAGAAUAUAUAAGAAGCUUAAAGGUUCUGGAAACUAAACUCCUUAAACUAAACUCCACACCCUUGUAUCCAUUGGAAAUCUUUAUGUACCCUCAAGGUAUGCAUCCUCAGUCUGGAGACAAUCAACUUAGAGAAAGUAUUUCAAUAACCCAUGGAAGCUACACGAUGAAUAAGGACGGAUCUCAAGUUAACUUUUGUCAGGCAGAGGCAGGAGACCAACUGGAGGACUCUAACGCCUUAGGAGAUGGAGGUCCGGCUAUACUGGAGCAACCUGGACCCGUGACCGACUGCAUACAGCAAAGUCCUCCUGCAAGCCCAGAUAGGUGUGGAUGAGAAAUAAACCUUUGCUGUGUUAAACCAGGAGAUUUUGGGAUUGUUUGUUAGCGCAUCUAGCCUCUCUGACUAAUAGAGUAGCUGAUGGUGCUGGAUAGGGUCUCAGUACUACAGGGAUGAAUAGGAAUCAUAGCCAGUUCUCUGGGGACAAGGCAGUACCAGGGUACUGGAUGGGGCCAAAUCCAAGAGAAUAGACUACAGGUUGCACCAACUACAGACUUCAUAGCAGAUGCCAACAGAAUUCCCAGGAGUAGGGACCAGACAACCACCCUCAGUGGACACCACAUAACACACAUCCACAGUCAGUUAUCGCCUUGGCCCACGAAGACACGAUAAGUUCUCAUAUAUCCAACUGCCAUUUUGAGGAGGGAAAGGAAACUCCAAAAGACUAAAUGUUUAUCUAAAGAGACCAUCUAAUCCACCCUUGAUAGAGAGCGGAACUUUCAAUAAAAUAAACAUUUAAACUGAAGGAAGACUGUUGGAAUUGGAAGUGCCCAAGAUAUUUUUAAUUGAAAAUCUAAGAUUUUCUAUGACUCAGAGUUGUGGAAAAUAAUUGAUUUUCUUUGGAAGGGGGCACAUUAAUUAUGUGUGAAUGAGUGUGUGACUCUGCUUUUUUUAUUUUUAUGCUGUAGCUGUGAAAUCUAGUUCAGAUUAAAAAUAGAAGUGGAAAAAAGUUUUUUAAAGUACACCUAUAUGAGUAAAACAGAACAUUUCAGGACUUUCUAGUUCCGAAAUUUCAGUAACAGGAAGGAGGGCAUGAUCUGUUCAUGGGGACAGAUUCCCCAGAGAUGUGGUUCAAUACUAAAUACCAAAGUACAGAGCAUGGACAAGCAGUACAGUUUCUUUCUGCAAAACCACUUUAUUAAUGACAUACUUUGUCAGAUUGUUACAUGUGACUAUUCCACUUCAAUAUACCUUGACUGGAAGGAUAACUGAUUAGCAGUUUUUACCAAGUCCACUGAAAAGAACAGAGCUUUAAUUUCACUUGACAGAUUGUUAAAUUGGGCUUUUAGAC